rnacentral:lncRNA from 1 species
UAAUUCCUUGCCUAUAAAGGCACCAUUACUUGACAUACAAGUCAGAUUUUAAGAGAAAAUUACCCAAAACUAAAACAGUUGCUUUUCUUGAAGAAAUUUUGAAACAACCUUGAAUUCCUUGCAAUUUCUAGAAAAUUAUUGCACAUUCUGUUUGGUUUUUUCCUUUGAGCCUCAGAGUCUAGAAAAAAACCAUUGAAAUUUUACAGUUCAGCAUUCUGAUUUGAAAUGGAUUAAAUUGUUGGAUAUUUAAGAGUUUGGGUGUGGAUUUUGGUUUUGGGAAACACUGUUUCAUUGCUAAGUGCUUGAUUGUUCUGCUGCAGACUUUUUGCUGAUUCUUCAUCUUUUCUUUGCUCUUUCAAUAUGCGGGAACAUACCUUGAGCUUCAACGAUUUUGAAGUGAACUUGAAGAAUGAAAUGAAAAGCAGAAUUUAAAGCAUAGUAAUUGGCUUAUUUUGUUGAUUCAGUAAUGUUACUUUGAUUUGUUCUUUUAAUUUAUUGUGUUACAUUGUCUAGUUGAGUUCUAACUUGAAUAAGUAAGCUUUCAUUAUUGUACCUAAUUUGGGAUUGUCAUGAAAACUUCGAGAAC